GACGAACGCUGGCGGCGGGCCUAAUACAUGCAAGUCGAACGAGAGCGGCCGGUUCUUGCACUGGUCAAUCUAGUGGCGAACGGGUGAGUAACACGUGUGUAACCUGCCCAGCAGAGGGGGAUAACAUUCGGAAACGGAUUCUAAAACCGCAUAUGUCUUCGAACCGCAUGGUUUUAAGAGGAAAAGAGGCGCAAGCUUCUGCUGAUGGAUGGACCCGCGUUGCAUUAGCUAGUUGGUGAGGUAAAGGCUCACCAAGGCCGUGAUGCAUAGCCGACCUGAGAGGGUGAUCGGCCACACUGGGACUGAGACACGGCCCAAACUCCUACGGGAGGCAGCAGUAGGGAAUAUUCCGCAAAGGACGAAAGUCUGACGGAGCAACGCCGCGUGAGUGAAGAAGGUUUUCGGAUCGUAAAACUCUGUUGUUAGAGAAGAACAAGUGCUAGAGUAACUGUUAGCGCCUUGACGGUAUCUAACCAGAAAGCCACGGCUAACUACGUG
rnacentral:rRNA from 1 species